rnacentral:rRNA from 1 species
GGUAAAUCCGGUUCACUUUAACACUGAGGCGUGAUGACGAGGCACUACGGUGCUGAAGCAACAAAUGCCCUGCUUCCAGGAAAAGCCUCUAAGCAUCAGGUAACAUCAAAUCGUACCCCAAACCGACACAGGUGGUCAGGUAGAGAAUACCAAGGCGCUUGAGAGAACUCGGGUGAAGGAACUAGGCAAAAUGGUGCCGUAACUUCGGGAGAAGGCACGCUGACACGUAGGUGAAGUGAUUUACUCACGGAGCUGAAGUCAGUCGAAGAUACCAGCUGGCUGCAACUGUUUAUUAAAAACACAGCACUGUGCAAACACGAAAGUGGACGUAUACGGUGUGACGCCUGCCCGGUGCCGGAAGGUUAAUUGAUGGGGUCAGCGCAAGCGAAGCUCCUGAUCGAAGCCCCGGUAAACGGCGGCCGUAACUAUAACGGUCCUAAGGUAGCGAAAUUCCUUGUCGGGUAAGUUCCGACCUGCACGAAUGGCGUAAUGAUGGCCAGGCUGUCUCCACCCGAGACUCAGUGAAAUUGAACUCGCUGUGAAGAUGCAGUGUACCCGCGGCAAGACGGAAAGACCCCGUGAACCUUUACUAUAGCUUGACACUGAACAUUGAGCCUUGAUGUGUAGGAUAGGUGGGAGGCUUUGAAGUGUGGACGCCAGUCUGCAUGGAGCCGGCCUUGAAAUACCACCCUUUAAUGUUUGAUGUUCUAACGUGGACCCGUGAUCCGGGUUGCGGACAGUGUCUGGUGGGUAGUUUGACUGGGGCGGUCUCCUCCUAAAGAGUAACGGAGGAGCACGAAGGUUGGCUAAUCCUGGUCGGACAUCAGGAGGUUAGUGCAAUGGCAUAAGCCAGCUUGACUGCGAGCGUGACGGCGCGAGCAGGUGCGAAAGCAGGUCAUAGUGAUCCGGUGGUUCUGAAUGGAAGGGCCAUCGCUCAACGGAUAAAAGGUACUCCGGGGAUAACAGGCUGAUACCGCCCAAGAGUUCAUAUCGACGGCGGUGUUUGGCACCUCGAUGUCGGCUCAUCACAUCCUGGGGCUGAAGUAGGUCCCAAGGGUAUGGCUGUUCGCCAUUUAAAGUGGUACGCGAGCUGGGUUUAGAACGUCGUGAGACAGUUCGGUCCCUAUCUGCCGUGGGCGCUGGAGAACUGAGGGGGGCUGCUCCUAGUACGAGAGGACCGGAGUGGACGCAUCACUGGUGUUCGGGUUGUCAUGCCAAUGGCACUGCCCGGUAGCUAAAUGCGGAAGAGAUAAGUGCUGAAAGCAUCUAAGCACGAAACUUGCCCCGAGAUGAGUUCUCCCUGAGACUUAGAGUCUCCUGAAGGAACGUUGAAGACGACGACGUUGAUAGGCCGGGUGUGUAAGCGCAGCGAUGCGUUGAGCUAACCGGUACUAAUGAACCGUGAGGCUUAACCUUACAACGCCG